CUUCUUGGGUCCGCGCGUUGAGGCCCUUGGGGCGCGCGUGCUUGGCGCGCGCCUGCGAGUCCUGACAGGAGCUGAGGGAGCUGAGCGGCGCCUGUGGCUGCUGGGUGUCAGGCGCUGGGAGGGCAGGUCGAGUCUCUUGCCGCUAAGCCCAAUCAGCAUGAUACCAUCCAUGUAAUUGCCCAACAUAAAUUUCUGUGGAAAAAAGAGAUAAUCAAGUACCUGUAAUAGGGCUGCAGAGUUGAUGUAUCCAUAAGAUGGGGUCCCCUCCCGUCCGUGCCCAGAACCACCAGUUUUAUCUCUCCCAAUUCAUGAACACGCACCUCUGUCCCGCCAAGCUGUCUCUUUCCACCUGUGGAGAUUUUUCUGCCACUCCGCAGCCUGCAUUCCCGGGCGUUCC